UCGCCGCUCGCCGCUCGCCGCCCGCCGCCGCCGCCGAGCGCCCGGGCCGCUCCGGGAGCCCACAAGGAGGGGGAGUGCGGCGCGGCCCGCAGCCACGUGCGCGAAAACCCGCGGCGGGGGCGCCUCGUGGAGGCCCGCGCGAGGGGGCUCCCAGCCCCGGGCUGCGUCUGCGUCCUCCCGCGAGACCCUGGACUCCACUCGGUCCGCGAUCAAGCUCCCUCGGCGGCGAGGCUCCCGCCAGCGCGGGACAGUUAGCGUCUCUUUCCCGCUACGCUGAGACUUCCUGCCUCCACCUGGAGCCCAAGGCCGGAGGGCCGUUACCAGAACUAGAGAUACGGGACCAACAAAUCGGUUUGGACUCCCCCCCACGCCCCCGAGUGACUCUUUCUGACGUGUCUCUGGCCCCUGAGGGUUGCUGUUAUUUGCUGUUUGUUUCUUACUUGCUUUGCAGAGUAAAGGGGAUCAUUACUCCCACCGACAGCGCCAGAGUAGCUGGUUUGCCCUGGCAUAAGCAGAAGAAAAGCUACUCACUCUGAGUGGCUAGGUGUUAAGUUGGAGAUUGUUCUGGGUGUGAAACUCCAGGAAACCUUUGGACUGCUAAGAACUACAGGUUGCACUUCCUGGGCACUUUAUUGCAGUUCUAGAAGCUGGAAGUCCAAGAUCCCUGCCUACUAGCUGCCUGGCAGGAAGAUGCAAGUUUCUCCCUGGUAUUUGUUAGCGAUCAAUAUGUUGACUUUUUGCCAUUCUCUGUGGCAUUUAUUUUAUAAGGGCUUAAUAAACUUUAUACUCUUUCAUCCACACAUUGCUCUUUAAUUUAUAGAUGACUUCUGAAAGAAUGAAUUCUAGGAGAAAUUAAAGAAAUAUUCAGAACACUUUAAAUGAGAAUAAAAGAACAUCUCUAAAAGCAUUUUCUGUACAAAUAAAAUGUUUCAUGUUCAUACAGAAUCUUAAGAUUCAUAAAGAGUCUUCAUGAUGUGCUUGUAUCAUAUCACAUAUUGUUUAGUGAGCCUUAGAUCUGCUUUAAGGCCUCUAUUGAAAAGAGUUAAGCAUAGAAGAAAGCCAAUCCAUUCCUUUUUUUCUUUAACAUCUUUAUUGGAGUAUAAUUGCUUUACAGUGGUGUGUUACACCAUUACAAUGGUGUGUUAGUUUAAUCCAUUACUUUCUGCUCUCCUAUUUAAGAGAGAAGUUUGGGUGGAGAAAUAGUCUUUUAGAAUAGUUACCUUUAGAAUAAGGUAGGUUGUAAACCAAUAAAAGAUAAUAUUCUGCAUUUACCAAAUAUAAAAUAUUCUCCCUGAUAUGAGCAUAUGUGUUAUCUUACAUUUUCACAAAAUUCUUGUUUUUAAAGCUUAGGCUUGUAUAUUUCCUUUCAUUCAGCAGCUCAUGUGUUAUCUCUGUAUUACUGUUUUAUAGAUAAGAAAACUGAGAUGCAUGCAGCUUUCAUCACUGGAAAAAAGUCUCCUGACUCACCCAAACAGUAUCCUUCCACAUCAGUUGCCUAUUCAGAGGGAAGAAUGAUGUCCAAGAAACCACAUUUUUAAUGAAAUUUAAACUUCUUUUUUUAAAAAUAUUUUUUAGGGCUUUUCUGGUGGCACAGUGGUUGAGAGUCCGCCUGUCAAUACAGGGG